rnacentral:rRNA from 1 species
GACGAACGCUGGCGGCGUGCUUAACACAUGCAAGUCGAACGGAAAGGCCCUGCUUUUGUGGGGUGCUCGAGUGGCGAACGGGUGAGUAACACGUGAGUAACCUGCCCUUGACUUUGGGAUAACUUCCGGAAACUGGGGCUAAUACCGGAUAGGAGCUCCUGCUGCAUGGUGGGGGUUGGAAAGUUUCGGCGGUUGGGGAUGGACUCGCGGCUUAUCAGCUUGUUGGUGGGGUAGUGGCUUACCAAGGCUUUGACGGGUAGCCGGCCUGAGAGGGUGACCGGCGACAUUGGGACUGAGAUACGGCCCAGACUCCUACGGGAGACAGCAGUGGGGAGUAUUGCACAAUGGGCGGAAGCCUGAUGCAGCAACGCCGCGUGCGGGAUGACGGCCUUCGGGUUGUGAACCGCUUUCGCCUGUGACGAAGCGUGAGUGACGGUAAUGGGUAAAGAAGCACCGGCUAACUACGUG